GAUUUGCGCAUUAGGUGAGCUCAGUUGAUUGAGGUGUGGACUUGCGGGUGGUAUGAGAACGUUUAAGAGACAGUUGGUUAGCUUUAUGUUAACUUGAAACAUGGCAGAGUCGUUAGAAAGAGAAACCUCAACUGAGAAAAACGCUGCUUCCAAAUUGGCCUGUGGGAAUAUUUUGAUUACUGAUCAAUGCGGGAGGGCCCAUCUGAAUGUGUGCUGCUGCCACCCCUGGGCCGGUGGUCUUUCGGUAUGUGAAAAAGGCUGAGUGAACUAGCCAGAAAGCAACAUUCCUUCAGAGCUUCUUCAGUUCCUGCCUCAAGUUCCUUUGAUGAUGGGCUGUGAUGUGGAAGUCUGAAUCUAUGGACUUUUUCAUCUUCCUGUGAUAGCUGAUAGCAACCCAAAGAAGAUAGGUCAUCGAAACCAAAAUUACCUUCUAAUCUUCCUCCAGAAUUAUAAAAGGAGAAAAAUUUUGAUGUCCUUAAAGAUGGAUCCAUUAGCCUUAAUUUACUCUCAAGGACCCACUCUGGUACUAUUUGUUGUAGCUGUUAUUUAGUUGCUAGGACUUGAAAUCAGGACCUAGAACAUAUAGGGACAUCUGUUGGAACAUACUUCUUCAGGACUCUAGCUUAUACAGAAAAGCUGAAUCUCCUAGCCUCACAGGACUGAGCAACUACUAGACUCUUGGACUUCUCAUUCACAGCUGCCUAUUGGGUUGGUUGGACUGGAGACUUAAGUCAUUACAAUAAAUUCCCUUAAUAUAUACAUUCCCUAAGUUCUGUGACUUUAGAGAAUCCUGACUAAUUCAUGAAAAAGGAUUUGAUACUACAAAUGACCUGUUUCUUACCAUACUUUUGCCUUAAUUUUUUCUUUUUAAAAAUUUGGGACAUGAUAUCAUUUGCAGCCAUGACUGACACUGAACUCAUGUUCCUCCUGUCUUGGACUUCCUGAGUGCUGGGAUCACAGGCAAGCAUCACCAUAAUAAUUGCCUAUGAUGUUUGCUAGUUUGUAAUAUUCUAUUUCCUCAAUCUUGCAUUAUUCAUUCCAAUUUUACUACAAUAAAGACCUUUUCCUACUUUUUUUGAAAGGAUUUGAUUAUAUAAGUAUGAAGGUACAUUUGUUUUAUUUCAUGGGUUAUAAUUCAUUAUGACCAACAUCAUUUUUCUAAGAUUAUCCAAAGCUAGGACAGCUUUCUAAUUUUCUGACAGAAAACUAACUUUUGUUAUUCAUAGAAUAUUUGCUUCUUUGUUAUAGACGGAUGAAGUAAUUUCAUAAUCGCUAACAAAUAUUUCAGAAAAGUAAAUGUUCAGAUUUUUUUUUUUUCUGGUAAGCUACCUCAAAAGUUUUUUGCGCC
rnacentral:lncRNA from 1 species